rnacentral:lncRNA from 1 species
UCCAGGAUCCCCGCGGGCCGACCCAGGCAGCUCGGGAGCCGAGGCCGCCGGACGGGGAACACAAGCCUGACUGCGGGGUGGAGGCGCGAGGCCAGCCCGGGAUUGCGCCCUCUCCAGCGCGGUGAUUGCUGCGCGCCGGGGCGCACGAGCUGCGGUGAGGCACAUCUCCUGCAGAUCCAGUACGCGAUUGAAUCAGGCCAUCCUGUGAGGGAUGGGCGCGAAUUCCGGCUCCCGGUGGCUCGGUGGUGACCCGACGGCGAACGCCGGCCGGGCUUGGCCUGAGGUGAGCUCCGUUGUUCUGGUCCCUCCAGCGGCGGGCAGCCGUUUCCCGCUUCGCACGCACGGAGAGAAGAUUCCCGGCUCGGGAGAAACCGCUGCUGGCAACGGGAGGCCCCGGAACGCGAGCGCCCCUGUUCUCGGUUGGUGUAAGCAUCUCUUGCAAGCCGCAGAUUUUCUGAGUGCUUGGAAUUCGAGUUCCUCGCUAUUUUCUUUCACUGAUUUUGUUUACCGAUCCAGGAAUCUUUAUAUCUAUCUCCCCGUUUAAAGUAUUCUCCCUUACCCCAUCCGUCCCUUCAAAAAGAAAAAGAAAAAGGGAAAAGGAUUUUAAAAAAAGAGAGAGAGAGAAAUAAUUGGAUGCUACAAGGACACAGCGUGGCAAUCCUCCGAGCUGCUGCAACCUCGAGGGGACCCGGGAAGCCAGUGUGGGGGAGGGGCGCGCCUAGACAGCUUGCACCCACUCUUUGAUUUUGCGUAACCCGGGUCCUCUAGGCUGGACCGGGAAGAUCUCCAAGUGUGGGAUCUAUCCCUCCAGGGCGGGUGGAGAUGGUCAGAAGGGCACACCGGUAAUCCAUCUGCACACAGGCCUGCUGCUAGACACGAGAACGCGAGGUUUCUUUCCUCCUCAAGCCGGUUUAGAAUCUUGGGGAUCAGCACCGCCGGAUCCCUAAAAGCUGGGCAGGAGGAUUUGUCUCCAACCCCGCCAUGUUCUGUGUCCACCCCAACCCCGUUCUGUGUCGUCUCACAUCCCCGAAAGGCUCCCAGAGUGUGAAAGGCCUCGGCUCCUUGCUGUCUCGCUCCCACCUCUGCGUCCUCUCUAACCUCAGUAUUCACUUAAGUCUAGUGGCCUUUUUCCUCCUUCGCUCAAUACUGUUUCAAAAUAGUUGUUACAGCAAAUAGCUGCCGACGCGCCUCUGGAUGCCGCCAGAGGCUGGCAGCUGCCCAGCGCGGGCGCACAGCCCCCGGCAGUUCCACAAGACCAAAAUAAGCUCCCGUGUUCCUCUCACAGGGCUCGGCCUCCCGGGCGGGCCCGGGCAUGUCUGGCUGGGCUCGCUAUCUGCUUGGAGCAAACCAUCCUGGUUUCCUCCUUGACUUCCUGCUAUCCAAAACUAACAAAUGUUUUUCAUUUUAGAAGAACAUGGCGUGAGGAUCAGGGUCCUUUCUAGAGCAGUGCUUCUCACCCUUCCGAAUGCUGCGACCCUUUAAUACAGUUCCUCAUGUUGUAGUGACCCUCAACCAUAAAACUAUUUUCGUUGCUACUUCAUUACUGCAGUAUUGCUACCGUUAUGAAUUGUAAUGUAAAUAUUUUUGGAGACACAGGUUUGCCAAAGGGGUCAUGACCCUUUAGGUGGGGAACUGCAGGAACUAGAGGGAAAGGGGGGGGGGUGUUAGAAAGAGUAGAGGAGACAGGACUAUAAGCCAUAGGUCAGUCUUUGCACAGGUGUCUCUGCUGUCACCUGAAGUUUUAAAAAAAUUGUAUGUUAUUAAUGCUGCAACCACAAACACCCAUUCGCUAGCCCAGGGCACAAUGGCCUCUGGAUGCACCGGCCACCUCCACAGCCUGUCAGAUGCCCUACAUAGGCAGCUGUGCUGCUCAUAUAUCAGACUUCAGGCAAUAGCGUGUGUGCCCAUGAACACUUGUGCAGUUUUGAACAUGUGCUCUGUCUACAUGCUUGUUCUGUGGGCUCACACAGCAUCCAUGUGUGUGUGUGAGCCUCACAACACACCCAUCACCUGCCUUAGACCCCAGGAUCUCCUGGUACUCCAGUGGUAGGAGAAGGGAACUGACUCUCUGCCAGGCAGGCCAGGCAGCACAGCACGCAGGCAGGCACACAUAAAAAUAAAUAAAUGUAAUUUAAAAAGACAGUUUGAAUCUCACAACACACCGACACACGUCACACACGUACAAGCACUCUCAAUUACAACUGACUAACCGGUAGUCGGAGCAGCCCAUUACCCACAAACCCUGGUACCUCCUCCAGCAUUCCCCCACUGCCCUUACAAGGCAGGAGACUGGAAGCAGGCCUAGGCCUCCCAGCUCCCAAAUGACAGAGAGCCUACUGUGUGAACUCAUUGAAUAAAUAAUCACUUUUUAAUACAAGGGGGUGGGGGUGUAUCUCGAGUUACAUAAAAUUGUAAAUGCCUGCUUGGGCCAGAGAACAGCGGCAGAGCCGCCACUGCUCUGCAGGGUAAUUGUGUGUUGGGUGUCUCUCCAUUGUUCCCUGGGCCAUUAGUCAGAGGGCAAAUUAGAAACAAUUUCUUGACGACAAAAAAAUUGACUCUUAAUUCUUCCUACCAGAAGUGAAAGGGCCAAGUCCAAAGGCCAGGCCCAAGGCUGGAGCCUGAGAGCUGCAGCUUUGGGUCUGGAGGGGCAAGGAACCCGGAGGGAGAGGGUUUGCACGAGGACAGUACAGGUUGGAGGCUUGCAGGUUGGAGCCAAGCUGGGGAAGGUUGGGACAGGAGGGCCUGGGUAGGGGCUGACACUCCUCCCAUCAGAGAGCCCACAGCGGAAUUGCAACCUCAGUCUAGAAUCAGGAUUUGAAAGGAUAGUUGGGGCAUAGACAGACACACACACACACACACACACACACACACACACACACCCUUCUCAUAGUGCUACAAUUCAAAAGCCACCCCAUGGUACUGGUUGGAAGAGAAGGAUCCUUGCUCCUUCCCUGAGGUUUCUCAACCACAUAGGGUCUUCCUAGCAGCCCUACUGAGGCCCAAAAAGAAAUACUGUGGAGAAGGGGUCUGAGUGUGGCCAAGUCCUCCGUUCUGUCCCCAGAUACACGUGUAUUCCCCAGAGGUACCGGCUUGGUGCUCUGUGCCUGGGAGUGAGAGGAGAAGAGAAUGGGGGUGCCCAUCGCAAGGUAAAAAGGCUUCUCCCCCCAAGAAAGGAACUUUCAAACAGAGCCCAUCUAUUUAGCCAGGAACAGAGGUAAAGGGGGCGGGAGGUGUUGCACUGAUCUGUGGGCUCCUGCCCCCUCCCAACUGGAGGCUGGGCUGAGGCCCAGGUAAGGGGCAAAAACACAGAAGCAGGAAAGGAAGAACUUCAGGAUCCCAGUUUGCUAAGAGUCCUCUCUUCUGCACACACCUCUGGAGGCCUGGCUGUGCCCCUAGCCAACAUCCUCCCCAAGGCAUUCCCUGACUCCGCUCCAA